GCUGUAAUGGCAGGUCAGCAUACUGCCGUGAAUACGUUCCCGGGCCUUGUACACACCGCCCGUCACACCAUGAGAGUUGGAGAUACCCGAAGCCUAUGAGCUAACUUUUAGAGGCAGUAGUCGAAGGUAGAAUCAAUGAUUGGGGUGAAGUCGUAACAAGGUAAC
rnacentral:rRNA from 1 species